UGAUGAAACAAUGUCGACACCAUGAGAUUAUUCCCAUAUCCUCUACAUGACGACACUCCUCUUUCUUUUCUUUCUCCACCAACCAAUCCUAUUAUAAACCAUUUUCUUUACCCAUUUAUCUUUCUUCAAUCCUGUUAUUUUUUUCUUCUCUCGAGAUUCGCUCUACUUUUAAAUUUUGAAGUCAGUGCUUGAAAUUGAGUGAGAAAAUUCAAAGAAACACUAAAAUGGGAAACCUACCUCAAGUACUGUUGUGCCUACUCUCUUCUUAUUAUCUGAUUUAGUGCAAAUCUCUGCUAUACAAGUGCUGGAGUCAGGAUCUUAGGCCAACUAAUUGGAAAAACUCUCCUCUUCUAUGAUGUGGUAUGGAUUGGGCGACUGAAGAUUAAUAAAUUUCACUCAUCUUCAAAUCAUAUCUAUGUAGGUUCUGAAUUCAACUUUCAGCACUACUAUGCAAGAGAUUGAGAAGAGAUAAAAUAUGGACCUUGAAUUUAUUUUCUUUAUCUGGGUAACUUUUUUUAGAUGUACAAUGUUCUGGAUUUUCCCUUUGAAAGAAUUAAUAUGGAUCUAAACAGAGUUUACUGGAUGCAGAUCAAUCCUACCAUGUAUUUUGUUUUAUUGGUGCUGAUAUGAAUUCAACUAGAAGUAGCUUUGUAGGAUUGAUCCAAUAACUGAUACUUUUUAGCAGAAACUGUCAUAGAGAGGCUGGCUAUUGAGUAUUUGCAUUUCAAUUUAUUAUUUGUAUGCUCCAUCGCUAGCAGAGGCAGAGGAAAAAUAAUUGGCAUAUGAGUUUUACCUAAAAUACUACUUCAUAUUAAUGUUU